rnacentral:rRNA from 1 species
CAGGCUUAACACAUGCAAGUCGAGGGGCAGCAUUUUAGUUUGCUUGCAAACUGAAGAUGGCGACCGGCGCACGGGUGAGUAACACGUAUCCAACCUGCCGAUAACUCCGGAAUAGCCUUUCGAAAGAAAGAUUAAUACCGGAUAGCAUACGAAUAUCGCAUGAUAUUUUUAUUAAAGAAUUUCGGUUAUCGAUGGGGAUGCGUUCCAUUAGUUUGUUGGCGGGGUAACGGCCCACCAAGACAACGAUGGAUAGGGGUUCUGAGAGGAAGGUCCCCCACAUUGGAACUGAGACACGGUCCAAACUCCUACGGGAGGCAGCAGUGAGGAAUAUUGGUCAAUGGGCGAGAGCCUGAACCAGCCAAGUAGCGUGAAGGAUGAAGGCUCUAUGGGUCGUAAACUUCUUUUAUAUGGGAAUAAAGUUUUCCACGCGUGGAAUUUUGUAUGUACCAUAUGAAUAAGGAUCGGCUAACUCCGUGCCAGCAGCCGCGGUAAUACGGAGGAUCCGAGCGUUAUCCGGAUUUAUUGGGUUUAAAGGGAGCGUAGGUGGAUUGUUAAGUCAGUUGUGAAAGUUUGCGGCUCAACCGUAAAAUUGCAGUUGAAACUGGCAGUCUUGAGUACAGUAGAGGUGGGCGGAAUUCGUGGUGUAGCGGUGAAAUGCUUAGAUAUCACGAAGAACUCCGAUUGCGAAGGCAGCUCACUAGACUGUCACUGACACUGAUGCUCGAAAGUGUGGGUAUCAAACAGGAUUAGAUACCCUGGUAGUCCACACAGUAAACGAUGAAUACUCGCUGUUUGCGAUAUACAGUAAGCGGCCAAGCGAAAGCAUUAAGUAUUCCACCUGGGGAGUACGCCGGCAACGGUGAAACUCAAAGGAAUUGACGGGGGCCCGCACAAGCGGAGGAACAUGUGGUUUAAUUCGAUGAUACGCGAGGAACCUUACCCGGGCUUAAAUUGCAACAGAAUAUAUUGGAAACAGUAUAGCCGUAAGGCUGUUGUGAAGGUGCUGCAUGGUUGUCGUCAGCUCGUGCCGUGAGGUGUCGGCUUAAGUGCCAUAACGAGCGCAACCCUUAUCUUUAGUUACUAACAGGUGAUGCUGAGGACUCUAGAGAGACUGCCGUCGUAAGAUGUGAGGAAGGUGGGGAUGACGUCAAAUCAGCACGGCCCUUACGUCCGGGGCUACACACGUGUUACAAUGGGGGGUACAGAAGGCGGCUACCUGGUGACAGGAUGCUAAUCCCAAAAACCUCUCUCAGUUCGGAUCGAAGUCUGCAACCCGACUUCGUGAAGCUGGAUUCGCUAGUAAUCGCGCAUCAGCCAUGGCGCGGUGAAUACGUUCCCGGGCCUUGUACACACCGCCCGUCAAGCCAUGAAAGCCGGGGGUACCUGAAGUACGUAACCGCAAGGAGCGUCCUAGGGUAAAACUGGUAAUUGGGGCUAAGUC